rnacentral:lncRNA from 1 species
CAAAAUCGUAUGGGUAAAAAGGCCUUAUUAUAGAGCACCAAGAUGCUGUCCAUUUAGUAUUGUGGUGGUUACAUAGAUCACCCAACAACUAUACAUUACAUGAGUUACAUGCAACCCAACAUCUACAAGUUACAUGGUUCAAAGUGUGCCAUCAAGCGUCCUUCGGCCCUUGCCCUUGCCCUCGCCCUCGCAUACGCAUAUGCACAUGCACAUGCACAUGUGCCUUCUCUUUCAUUUGUACUUAGA